UCUCUCUCUCUCUCUCUCUCUCUCUCUCUCUCUCUCUCUUCCCUCCUUCCCUCCCUCUCUCUCUCUGAAAUAUUGAUGGCCCAAUAUUCAAGUCUUUUUGUUACUUCCUUCAGUGUCUCAUGCUUCCUUUUGGGGGGUACAUACUUAUUCCUCCUCCUACCUCUAGUCCACCUUCAUGAAGUUCUGUGAUAAAAGGAUAGACAUGGUUUCUAGGUUAUAAUCCAUGUCUGGGGAAGGAUGCAAUGCUCUUUCGAGAAAUAAAAGAGUCUGAGUGAAAGCCAGGAGAGUCUGAACCACAAGAUGGAUCUCAGGUUAUUUACUUUGCAAUAUUUACCAGGAUCUACCAGGACAACUGAGAAGAAGUACUCGAGAAGUAACUGAGCCAUUCAUUAUGAGAGGGGACAGUUGAGAGGAAGAGAAGAAAUGAAGCAAUGUUUGUGGCCACCUCCUUCUCACAAAAUAUCCAAGGAAUUGGGAUCUGAGUUGGCCACUAGAGGCAUGAGAUACCCUAGAGGUUUAAUGCAGGCAACCAUGGGGGUUUAAUGAGAACAAUCAUUUAUUGGGGCAAAAGGGUAGGUGGAAGAUUUCAUUUCCUAUCAGGAAAAAAAAGUUCAUUUUCUAUUGUAUACUAGAGUCCUUGAGUACUUGAAUUCCAUAUCUCUUUAUUUUUGCCUAACUUAAAAAUAAAUAUAAGAAAAUCAAAAGUCACACACACACACAUACACACCCCAACUACUAAGAAACCUCACAGGGAACUGAUUCCAAGAGCUGGUAUAUACUUAACUCUUAAUUACAAGCAGACUAUUACUGGUACAACCUGAAGAGUGUCAAAUCUCUACUGAAUAAAACAAGACCUGCCUGUGUUUUAUAAAUGAGCUCAGGAUAUUGUGGGAAAUGAGAACUCUCCUGUGGUUCUUCUCUACCCACAGCCAGGCCUGAUCAAGAGCAGACAAGCAGCAAAGCCCAGACAGUGGCACCUGAGCUCUUGUGAGCUCCAUCUCUAGGUGAGCUGUGCUUUCUCCAUGUGUUGCCCGCCUUUCUCUGCUGCCCAGGAUUCGGAUGCCCUGGGAUGGGCUCAGAACUAUAUUAAACCAGAUUACUGUAACCUGGGAACCGUGUACCUCCUGGGCUACUUCCUUACUC
rnacentral:lncRNA from 1 species